rnacentral:rRNA from 1 species
UACGUAGGAGGCAAGCGUUGUCCGGAAUUACUGGGUGUAAAGCGCGUGUAGGCGGCAGGCCAAGUCUGUGGUGAAAUCGCUCGGCUCAACUGGGCGGGGUCCAUGGAAACUGGUCAGCUGGAGGACGUUAGAGGUGAGUGGAAUUCCCGGUGUAGUGGUGAAAUGCGUAGAGAUCGGGAGGAACACCCGUGGCGAAGGCGGCUCACUGGGCCGGUCCUGACGCUGAGACGCGAAGGCGUGGGGAGCGAACGGG